rnacentral:lncRNA from 1 species
GGCUAUUUUCCUAAGGAAGAUGCCUUAGGAGAUUGAACACUUCGUUAGUGCAACUAUUAAGAGUUCACUUUCAUAAUUAACUGACAAUGAAACGUCAUUCAUGUAUAGCAUUUCAUAGUGCAUGGAAAACCAUGUACUAUGAAAAUUAGAGGGCAAAAAACGGACUUUUCAUUGGACGAGAAGGGGUGAGUAUGUUCUAAUUUCCUAGAGAGCAAGACACACCAAAAACCACAGAGACAAUCGCUCACGAGGCUUUCUACUUUAAAGGCAACA